GCACAAGCGGUGGAGUAUGUGGUUUAAUUCGAUGCAACGCGAAGAACCUUACCAGGAUUUGACAUCCUGCGAACCUCUAAGAAAUUAGAGGGUGCCUUCGGGAACGCAGUGACAGGUGGUGCAUGGCUGUCGUCAGCUCGUGUCGUGAGAUGUUGGGUUAAGUCCCGCAACGAGCGCAACCCACGUUUUUAGUUGCCAGCAUUUAGUUGGGCACUCUAGAGAGACCGCCGGUGAUAAACCGGAGGAAGGUGUGGACGACGUCAAGUCAUCAUGCCCCUUACAUCCUGGGCUACACACGUACUACAAUGCUACGGACAAAGGGCAGCAAACUCGCGAGGGCAAGCAAAUCCCAUAAACCGUGGCUCAGUUCAGAUCGUAGGCUGCAACUCGCCUACGUGAAGGAGGAAUCGCUAGUAAUCGCAGGUCAGCAUACUGCGGUGAAUACGUUCCCGGGCCUUGUACACACCGCCCGUCACACCAUGGAAGUUGGCCACGCCCGAAGUCGUUACUCCAACCCUUGUGGAGGAGGACGCCGAAGGUGGGGCUGAUGACUGGGGUGAAGUCGUAACAAGGUAGCCGUACCGGAAGGUGCGGCUGGAUCACCUCCUAA
rnacentral:rRNA from 1 species